AUCACAGGAAAAUUUGCAAAAAAAAUAAAGAAAAAUCCACAAAGAACACCAAAACUUGCAAAAAGCUUGCAAAAACAAAAACCAAAAAGAACAACCAUCAGCAUCACAGCCACACACCCAGCAGAGAACACCAAAUGUCAAAGGUUCAUAAAUUUAUCAUAACCACCGGUUAAACUCGACGACGACGACGACACGACGAUAAUCCGACACAUUAAUCCACGACAUCCAUCCGGGCUAACAAUAAUCCACGACUGACACACAUUAAACAGUUCAACGCCUAAACAAACAGUCUCGACCACGAAAUUACGCUAAGACGACGGUGACAUCUAGUUCAGGUUUUUUUUUCUUCUUCUUCUGCUUCAGAGUUCUACGUCAAGCUGGUCACUGACGACGAUGGCAUGCAGAGCUCACUUCCAGGGCAUGCUGGACAGGCCGCUGUUGCUGGGGGUGGCCGCCGCCGGGACUCCCUGGUUCAUGGGGCUGCCGGAGGACUCGCUCAGCGUGCCCCUGGACGGCGGGCUGUUCUGGGCCAUCCCCACGCUGAUGGGAGCGGGCGCAAGCGGCGGCACGGCGAUCGGCGCCGGCACGAAGCUCGGCGUCAUCCUCGGUGGCGCGGAUGCGGGCUCAUGUGCAGCAGCAGCAGCUUGGUGCUUCGGUGCCUUCUUCUUCUCGGCCACGGUGUUGAAGGUACCCACCACAACCUGCGGGUGCAAGGAUAGCACUGGUUAGUCAUUUCUCUAGUGUGUAAUGACUUACUAAUACAAGUGGAUGCCAAUGAUGUGGAGAGUCUAGGAAAGUAGUUGGACAUAACAGUCUGGCUAGUGAGAAAUAAAAUCAUGAAGCUACAUUCAGGUUUCAACAGUGUCCCCAGAAUUUCAGUCAGAGAGGCAUGCCCUUUUCAAAACAUCAUGAAACGAAAAUCCAGAAGACAGAUCAUUGUGCUAACAUCCUUGGUUAUGAAGCAGUGAAGAAACUGAAGAAUUCUGCUAAUAUACUGAAUUCAUUUCACUUUGGGCUAGGAAAGAUGAGCAAUUAUCAUGCACAAGCUACACAUGUACAGCUAUGCAUCAAACGAUUGCUGCAGUAAAGAAGAAUCAGAGGAAUGCUAAUGCACUCAAAACGAAAUUAUGCAAAGAAUUUUUCUUGCUAAUAGAGAACUGAUCUAGUAGGUGGAUGCCAAUGAUGUGGAAACUCUAGGGAACUAACUGUAAAUAGCAGUCGGACUACUGAGGAAUAGAAUCAUGAAGCAGCAUUCAAUUUUCAGCAGUGUGCACAGAAUAUCCGUCGGAGAGGCAUAUGGCCUUUACAUACACAUCAUAAACCAAAACCCAGGAGACAGACAGCUGUGCUAGAAUGCUAACACGAUGAAACCGAAUUAUGCACAGAAUUUUACUUUUCGCUAGUAUAUGAGAUAGAAAAGAUUGGCAAUUGUAAUUUACAAAGUAACAUAAGUAAAGCUAUUAUUCUCAGUUUGAAACGGUAAAGAAACUGAAGAAUGCUAACACACUGGGACGAAAAUAUGCAAAGAAUUUUACUUUUGGCUGUAUUUUGGCAUAUGCAAUGUAGAAAGUUUCAUUAGGAAUGCUAUGCAUGAAAGUGAAACUAUGGCUGCACAUAUAUGAUUUACUGAGAUUUGAGGUUGGUGUGAAAGAACAGACCUGAAUAGGUGUGCAGGCAAUCAGAAGUCCAGCAAUUCCGCCACCCAAGACGCGGCCAUCAGGACUUGCAAGUGAAACACUCAGCCCACCGGUUCGGCUACGAUGGCCUCCAGUCUCUUGCACGGUGAAUGAUCCAGACAGUGACAGUAUCUCAAAUCGG
rnacentral:lncRNA from 1 species